rnacentral:rRNA from 1 species
AGGGAAGCUGCCACAAUGGACGGAAGUCUGAUGGAGCAACGCCGCGGGAGUGAUGAAGGUGUGCGGACCGGAAAACUCUGGUGGAAGGGAAGAACCAGUACGUCAGGCAAUGGACGUACCGGGACGGUACCUUAUUAGAAAGUCACGGCUAACUACGUGCCAGCAGCCGCGGUAAUACGUAGGUGGCAAGCGUUGUCCGGAAUUAUUGGGCGUAAAGCGCGCGCAGGUGGUUUCUUAAGUCUGAUGUGAAAGCCCACGGCUUAACCGUGGAGGGUCAUUGGAAACUGGGAGACUUGAGUGCAGAAGAGGAAAGUGGAAUUCCAAGUGUAGCGGUGAAAUGCGUAGAGAUUUGGAGGAACACCAGUGGCGAAGGCGACUUUCUGGUCUGCAACUGACGCUGAGGCGCGAAAGCAUGGGGAGCAAACA